AUUGAACGCUGGCGGCAGGCCUAACACAUGCAAGUCGAGCGGUAACAGGAGAAGCUUGCUUCUCGCUGACGAGCGGCGGACGGGUGAGUAAUAUAUGGGGAUCUGCCCGAUAGAGGGGGAUAACCACUGGAAACGGUGGCUAAUACCGCAUAAUCUCUAAGGAGCAAAGCAGGGAAACUUCGGUCCUUGCGCUAUCGGAUGAACCCAUAUGGGAUUAG
rnacentral:rRNA from 1 species